rnacentral:rRNA from 1 species
UACAGAGGGUGCGAGCGUUGUUCGGAAUUACUGGGCGUAAAGCGCUCGCAGGCGGCCCUUUAAGUCUACCCGUGAAAUGCCGGAGCUCAACUCCGCGCACGCCGGGGGAUACUGGGGGGCUGGAGACAUGUAGAGGCAAGCGGAAUUCCGGGUGUAGCGGUGGAAUGCGUAGAGAUCCGGAAGAACACCUGAGGCGAAGGCGGCUUGCUGGGCAUGAUCUGACGCUGAGGCGCGAAAGCGUGGGGAGCAAACAGG